GACUACAAAUAUAGGGACCUACUCCUAAAGCAAAAAGCUGAAGAAGGCACGCUAGACAUAUACACUGAAAAAGGCGUCUGAAAAACCAGCGCCGCAACCAAAGAGAGCACACCCCCCCCCCCCCCCCGCGUCGUCUUCUCCAAACGACCCCUGCUCUCUUCAUCGACCAUGACCAUAGACAAUAACGAGACGACCCCCUCCUCCCCUGAAGCUCCUUCUUCUUAACCACACCCCUGAACAUCACAACAACCAGCCCAUCUCCUACAUCCAUAGAAUAACCAGUAAAACCAGUCCAAAGAAGCUCCAAAUUCAGCUGAACAACAACUCGAAAAUAGCCCUCUUUCCUCACAAAAUAACAGCAUUUUGAGAUUGAGUUUAGUUAAAGCCCCGAGCGUUGGUUGCUGGUUCCGUUCAAGAUGUUGGUGAGAUCUCUAGUCAAGGUUACGCAUGAAGCUCUUAGUCCAUAGGAAGCUUUGUAUAUACUGAGCAUCAGUGCUCGCGGAGGUUCAGUUCUUAUCCCAUUUUUAAUUAAUGCAAAGUUCUUGGUACUCUCUUUGACUUCAUGCGUUUUUUUUAAAAAAAACUUUGAUAUAGUUUUAAUUCCAUUGCCUUUGCAUAUAUGUAUACAGUUGUCAUCUUGAAUUGGCAUAUUAAAUGGGUAAUUCAUAAAUUUUGAUGGUAAACUAUUCGUUUCAUUUUUGUGUAUUGAUUUAGUACUUAUUUAAUGUUAUGCCAUAUUUUUCAUUUGUGAGUAGUAAAUACCUUGGUUUGUGCGUUAUUGAGUAGUCUGUUUCUUUGUGUCCUAUAGAUUAAUUUGUUGUCAUUUCUUAUUUAAGUGAAUACGUAAGUUUUGAUGGUGAAUUGAACGGGCAGUUGGGUUUAAUUAGCACUUAUAAUUUUGGGUUUACAUUAAAGUGAUUCAUAACAAGUGGGUCACGAUAGUAAUAUGGAAUUGUUAGAAGCUUUUGGUUUUGAGAUGAUUUUGAUAAUCAAUGCGGCAUGACAACUUUAAGAUGCAAUUGAUCUAAAUAGCCUAAUGACUAGAUUACGUCAUUUCCUCCUUAAUAUUUUUUAUCCAUAAUUUCUUUAACUUUGCACAAUAAUCUCAAAGUAGUUUAGAAAAAUAAUACAAAUUUCGUAGCUUGCUUUAGGCGCGUAAUUUAAAAAAUCACUUUCCUAAACUUGGGUGUGCAUUUAUGUGACCCAAAUUCAAAUCUCAACAACGUUAGAUAAAAUGUGUCGUGGACCGCGGGUGCAUUUAUAUGACGUGAUUCAAGACGUGUUUUAGAUGACGUUUAAUCUUUCUCCUAAAAAAAUAACAAUUAAUUAAAGCGGUUUUAAAGUUAAGAAUGCACAUAGGUUUAAAAGUAUUUUAAAAUCAGAUAAUUGAGCCAAAAAUAAUAGUUGAGCGACCGUGCUAGAACCACGGAAUCCGGGAAUGCCUAACAUCUUCUCCCCGGUUAACAGAAUUCCUUACCCGAAUUUUUGUGUUCGCGGACUGAAUAACAGAGUCAAUCUUUCCUCGAUUCAGGAUUUAAAACCGAUGACUUGAGACACCAUAAAUUAUCCCAAGUGGCAACUCUGAAUUUGUAAUGAAAUAAUCCCGUUUCGAUUGUCACUUUAAGUUGGAAAAAAACUCUCUUAUACUCCCUUCCGGAGGUGGUAGAAAAAAGGAGGUGUGACAACUCUGGCGACUCUGGUGGGGAUCGAACCCAGAAUCUCUAGUUCAGGGUUCAGAAUUCGAGCUUAGAUGAAUUGUUAUGUUUGGCAUUAUUUAUUAUCUGAUUUUAUUACAUGUUUGGGCCUAAUGUGCUAAAUGUUGCUUUUACCGCNNNNNNNNNNNNNNNNNNNNNNNNNCGGACAAGUUGCAAAGCCGGAUGAUCUUUUAGUUACCGGUACGCAACCUCCCCUCGGCUCGAGUGGUCUGCUCGGGUGCACAAGUCUAGAACAGUAUACCCAGGUUUUAUAAUUAGAAUAACUCAGCCUCAUACUGGAUCCCUAGUAGGAACGUUUGUUUGCAUCAUGUGCAUUUGACUUUGGAGACUCAACACAGGGGUUGGGUCCGUCUAGGACAAGUGUACCCAAAAAUAAAAGACUAUCCUGAUGUAUCCUAUGUGCUACAUGUUAUAUUUAUUCAAGGGUAAAAGGGUCAUUUGGCGGACCAAUGAUAGUUGAGGGCUAAUGAAAAAAAAAGUGAAGUAUGAAAAUAAGGCAAGUAGGGCCCAGCUAUGCUUUCUUUCACAUUUUUUAAAAGAAAAGUAAAAAAAAAACAUGAAAAUUCAAAAGAUUUUGCACUUUUUAUCAUUUUUCGAAAAUCAAAAAUAAAAAUAAAAAAAGAGGAAAAAGAAAUCCAAAAAUAUUUUACAUGUUUCAUCAUUUUUUUUUAAAAGAAAAAAUAUUUUUUCUAAAUUAGUUAUUUUUAAUUUGCCCGAACUACGCAUACCUAAUUCUCGUCUUUCGGGGCAUGAUACGUAGGCAACCCACAUAAGGUCCGGCCUUCCUAGUAAGUCUUAGGUUCUUGGCUUCGCGGGUCUUAGCCAAUCUUGCAUUUUAUCCACUUUAGCCGCAUAGGUUAAUUUUGCAGAAAUAGCUUCAAUCAUGUCUCGCAUGUGUCUAGUAAGGAAUGUAAUUGUCUCACAUAGUGUUGGUUUCAGUUUUCUCAUACAUGUGUGAAUCUACUUACCGGAGUUUGGGCAUGACAGACGCCUUAGGACCAUCCAAUCAGGAGUUUGCUUAAGGAGAUUUUUUUUAGUUAUUAUGUUUUGAGUCUGUUAUUUUUUUUAUGUCGUCUUUUACCUUUUAAUUUUGUACAGUAAUGUUGGGUCUUUCGUUUUUGUAUUUCCUAUUUUGUAUUGAAAAAAGAUGUGUUAUAAAUCAAAAAUCCAAAAAAAAGGAUAUUUUGCAUUUUUAUAUUUUUGUUAGAAUUUUCUUUAGGAAUUCUACUCCUAGAAAUAGAAAAAAAAUCGUUUGAUGUGGUUCUUUCUUUAGGCAAUUAAUAUCUAGAACUUAAAAUAAAAAUUUAUUUUUAUAUUUUCUUUAGUAUAUUAGGACUAAAAAAAGAGAUUUUUUGUUUUUUAGUACCUCUUUAAAGGUUUUCUCUAAGAUAUUGAUUCCAAAAAUCCGAAAAAAAAUAUCUUUUGGGGUUUUUUUCUUUGCGAAAUUGAUGAAAAAUGAAUAGAAAAAAAAUUCUUUUAUUUUUACUAGAUUUAGGACAUUGUACAUAGAAAAAAAUAAGAUACCUUAUCUUCUGUUUAUUUUUAAAAUUUCUCCUUUAGGUAAUUAAAAAUUGAAAUCCAAAAACAAUUUUAUCUUUUUCAUUUCUCGUUACGAAGUUUUUCUUCAGGGAUAUCAAAUGAAAAUUCAAAAAAAAAAGAGUCAAAAAAUAUCUUUCUCUUCUAGGAUUUUUCCUUAAUAGAUUGUUUCCAAAAAGAAAAGAAAAAGGAAAAAAAUCCGUUAAGCUUGAGUUUAGAAUAGGUUAUAGAACAUUAAGUCUAGAAAAUUCAACAAAAGGUUUUGCUUCUUUUAUUUCUCUUUUCUCAUCGGAUUAGUCAUUAAGGUAAAAAAAAAAAGGGAGAAUGUUAGUUUGUUUCCUUUAUUCCUGAUUUUCCAGAACUAUGCAAGAUCUGAUUCAUGCGGUGUCAUGAUACGUAGACAACCUACAUAGGGUUCGAUCAAAUCAUUUUUUUAUUAUUACCAAAAGAAAAGAAAAGGAAAGGAAAAAAAAGAAGAAAAAGAUGGUGAAAUUAUGGGAUGUGAGAAAUGAGAAGGAAGAAAAAGAGCGAUAAUCAGAAAGAAAAAAGGGGAAAGAAAUUGAGCGAGCUAAGAAGUGUGAGGAAAGAAAAGAGAAGAGAAGAUUCAAAUGGACAAAUUGGGAUGAUGCCAAGUGACCUUAUGACCCUCGAAGUCAUUCUAAAACCUAAUUGUUGCUAGGUGCAUUGCACGCAAUGUGAUAUUUUUGUUGUUGAAUGCCCUAAAGCUAACGAGAUGCCCCCAUUUUGUUCCUUUUGAUAUCUUCAUAGCAGAAAGGUGGUUGGUUUGUGGUUUUCGAAGUAUUAACUCCUCUCCACAACAUAAAGUCAAAAGGCAAUGGCGGACAACAACAAAAUUGGGUUGGUUGAUACCGGUGCCCGAAAGCAGUUAGUUGAACAGGACACUGGUUUGGCUGAUGAGGUAAGGAUGUUAAAACAACACAUGACGGACAUGUAUCAGGCCUGGAUGACUGGGAAGGCACCACCCCCGCCACCACUUAGCUUCUUAGAUGCUACCCUUACCCAAACUUCAGUCAUAGUGCCGGAUGAUCCCCCAUACUCUCCAGAUCCACCCGUUUAUCACAGCUUUCCCAACCGUCCUAGUAGCUCCAUCACUCAUCCUCCAAUUACCUCUCCCCAAAAUUGUCAUCCUGUCAUAUCCACUAUUCCCAACAAUGAAUAUCCACUCAAAGCUCAUGAUUCCCAAUACUAUCCCGCAGAGGUUGCCCACAAGGUUCCUGACUCAUACAAGAAGAGCCCUCGGGAUGAGCUUCAUGCUGAACAUGAAAAAGUCACGGGAAAAGAAGGGCGAGACAAGAUAUUCAGGAAGUUAAAAAGCAUAGAACAGUCCUUAAAGAACAUGCAAGGGAUGGGAGACCAGGUUAACAUGUCUUACAAAGAGUUGUGUAUGUUCCCUGACGUUCGCCUGCCUGCAGGGUUUAAAGUGUCAAAGUUUAACUUGUAUGAUGGGUGUGGAGAUCCGGUAGCCCAUUUGAGGGAUUAUUGUAGUGAAAUGAGAAGUGUUGGCGAGAAAGAUGAUUUGUUGGUGGAAUAUUUCAGUGAGAGCUUGACUGGGACAGCUUUGGAAUGGCAUAAUCGUCAAGAUGUCGGUAAGUGGCAUACAUUGGGCGACGUGGCUCAAGAUUUUGUGCGACGCUUUCAGUACAAUAUAGACAUUAUCCCAGAUCGCUCCUCCCUAUCUCAGAUGGAAAAGAAACUCAAGGAAAGUUUUAGAAAUUUCUGGCUCAUAUGGAACGAACAAGUCGCUCGGGAUAGUCCUCCCAUUGAUAGAAAAGAUGUUGUUGAGCCCCACCGACGACAGGGUCCAGUGGUCAUUCUUGCUAAACGCUUUCAGCCUCAAUGUCGACUCCGUGGAUAUCCUUUCAAUCCUCCCCACUGCUACUUCUCUCCACAGAACCCCCAAAAUCGUACAUCACUUCCCCGAUACCCCGUUCACAAUGCACCACCAUAUGCUCCAUAUCCCCGAGGCCCACACCACUUCCACAAAUGUCUUACUCACCCCCUAAGGCAUAUCAACCACCUGCCCGCAAAAGGUUCCACCCGAGGCCAGAGUAUAAAAUGAAAAGACUACUGAAAAAAGAAAAGGCUUUCACCCUAUUGGAGAAUCGUAUGCCAGUCUAUUCCAGAGGCUGAGGCAAUUGGACAUGUUGAAGCCGAUUCAGAUAAAAAUGUCAAACCCUCUUCCAAAGAAGUUUGAUUUUUCUCAAAGGUGCGCAUAUUGCUCAGAUGCCCCGGGGCAUGACAUAGAAAAGUGUUGGCAUCUGAAAGGAGCAGUCCAAAAGAUUAUUGAUGCAGGUGACAUUACCGCGCAAAAUCCAAAUGCAGCAGAUACUAGCCAAAUUCCAUUGCUUGAGACGCAUAUGGAGGACAUGACUUGUGUGGAAAAGGAAUAUGAGAACUAUUCCGAGAUCCUCGGAAGGCCAGUUGCCGCAAAGCUUUUAGCGCUAUCACUCUUGGUUCCGAAAGUUGAUCAUAAGAACGAGCCGGCCAAAGGGACCCAAAAGCAAUUUGCUAAGGAUAAUGAGAUGUAGACUUGUGAAGGUUCUAGCAAUGUUGAUGUUGAACUCAGUGGCUAAGAUGCAGAGCUGGGUAAUUAGAAAGAUGCCCCUCUCUUGGCUAGCUGGGGAGGAGUCUUGGCGGUUUAUUUUGUUAUCAUUUCUAUUGUCCGGGUGAUUUCAGGGCUGUAAUUCGGAUAUUGUCUUGUGACUCAACUCUUUUAUCCUUUUAUUUUGCCUGGUUUGUUUAGUCGUAGUAACUUGUUAGGUGUUGUCUAGGUUUGUUCCAGGGUUGUAACCCCAGUUUAGUUUGCUUGUUUUGUUGUUCGAACCAUUUCACCGUCUGUCUAAUGCAAUUUCUUGUCUUCUUUUAUUUCUAGUCAUUUUUUGUUUAGUUCUUUUCUCCUUUUUAGUUCCUUUUCUACUGGCUCUAGUGACAUGACACGCACGCAUAAUUCUAGGCCUGGUCUCAAUAGUUAGUUUAAUCAUGGGGCAAUGAAAUAAUUUUGAAGAUAAUAGGGACAUUUGAGGGAAAUAAAUAUAGAUUUGGACAUUUUGAGAUCAUUUGAAGCCCGAACCGUGUGAAACUGGGGCAGAUAAUUUUGGAAGUUAAUAGGAUGGCAAGAAUUCGUUAAAGGAAAGUACAUCCCGGACGAUUUGAAGCAAGCAUCUUUGAGUUCGAGUGCAUCUCAAGUUACAAGAUAAAGUCAAGGAAGUUCUUUCCGAAUUGAUGGAGGAUAUCCAUUGUGAAGAGGGAAUCACCCAACGAGGGUUUUGUACAUGACAAGGCGCUAAAGAAAAAUGGAAGGCAUAUCAGUGAUAUCAAUGUCGAAGAUGCAAAAAAAAUAUUGUGCAUGAUUUUCAAUUUUCAUUUCAAGUUGCAUGUGUUGUACUUGGUAUUUUCAGGGAUUGAGAGGCCCUCUUUCAGCUACCCAAAUACUUAUACCAUUUGAUACCCUUUUGAGCAUGUACUAAUUUUUUUGACCUCCCCUCUUUUGGAAUCAAGUUAGAGUCAAAAAAAAAAAAAAAAAAUGUUCAUGUCCCCAUAGGUUUAUUUUAGAAAGUUCAUUUCAAAAGGAAAAUUGUAAAAAAGAAAAGAAAAUAGAGAGAAAAAAAAGAGAAAAAAAAGAGAGAAAAGGAAGGAAAAGAAAAAGGAAAAAAAGAGAGAAAGGGAAAAUAGUGACAAAAAGUAGCGUUGUGAACUACGUUUGACCUGAUUCUUAUCACCACAAGAUACGUAGGCAGCCUCACGGUUCGGUCAUACCAAAUAAAAUAUUUCAUAAUCCUAUGAAGUCGAGAGUGGGAGAUUCAAAAAAAAAAAAAUCAAGUUCCCUUAUUUUAGAAAUUGGGGCAAAGUGUUUAGAAUGGAUUCCAAAAGUUGUAAAUAAGUUAACCCCGUUGUCUUAGUUAUUUAGAGCCUUUUCGAUAUCUUUUCUUUCUACCCCUGUCCAAAAGCCACAUUACAGUCCAAAAAAUACCUCCCGGAUAAUCUUUGAGAGUACUGAGUUUAGACAUGCCAAGAGUAUAUGAUGUUUUACCAUGGUUAAUGCCUUGUCAUCUGCAGAAUCAGAAGAAAUAAGAAGAAAAAGAACAAAAUAAGAGAGUCUUAUUGGUGAAAACCUUCACCAACACCAUAAGCCGACGGUGAGUCGAGAGAAAUAAUAAAAUGAGAGAGACUUGGUGAAAACCCCUCGGGCACUACAAGUCGAAUAAGGAUCAGGAAUCAGAUUGGAUAAUCGGAGCAUUAAAGCCCAGUUUCACGGCGAAAAGGCACAACAAGAAUUGAACAUCAGACUUGCUUGACGGAUUAGGCCACUUACUCCAAAGGUGCAUGUCAUGGUCAUUAGAGUUGGUAUCCACAUCUGAUAAGUUUCUACUUUGUAGUUUUCUUGUUAGGAAUCGUCUCGUUCCAUUGUCCUUUACUCUGUUUUUUUUUUGUCUUGUUUACUUCCUCUUUCUGAGUCUGUUUGGGCAGAACAAGUGAGAAAUGACUUGAAAAUUUGUCACCAUCUUUCCAAUUGCACAAAAUGGGAUCUGGCUAGCAUAACAAAGUGGCAUAAAUCAGGAAAAGAGCAGCAAGCGCACUGAGUUGGUAACAAUCAACGUGCUUUGAGAUUCAUGUGAAAUACAAAUAAUCGGUAUAUGUCAAUUCAUGAACAAUGCAACAGAUAGAGGGUGUUGGGUUGGAACGGAUCAAAGGUAUUUUCUAUGAUAAAAUCAAUAAAAGAAAGUGGUUAACCAGUGACAAGCAAGGUCUUCCAAGCAAAAAUCAAAGUUAUCAUGGCAAGUGAUGGAGCAAUAGACCUCAAGGCCAAGGCCAGUGGUUUAAGUCAAGAAGGAACAACAUGCGCACUGAGUGGGUGGCAAUUGACGUGCUUUGGGAUUCAUGUGAGACACAAAGGUUUGGUAAAUGUCAGUUCAUGAGCAAUGCAACAGAUAGAAGGUAUUGGGUCUGAACAGAGAAGAGGUAUUUUCUGUGAUACGGGUGACAAAGAAAGUGGUUAGUCAAUAAACAAGUAAGGUCUUCGAGUGGAAAUCAAAGUUAUCGUGGGAAGUGAAGGAGCAAUCUCCCUCAAACCAACCACCAUAUUUUUAAAACUAACAAGAUUUUUCUUGAUUUGAAAUAGGGGCAGAAAAUUUCGUUUGUUUCGAAGAAACCCUCCGUAAGGAAAAGCAAAUACCAGAAUGGUUUGACCGUAAAUUCUCAGGACCCUCCUGAAAAAUGGAACCUAGUUUAAAAUUCAAAACAAUUAUGAGUAGCAAAAUCUAGCAUAAAUGUACCCCAAAGGAAUAUAAAUUGGCUUCAAAGUUUUCAUACUUGAGAUAGGAUUCAAUUAAGAGCUUUCAGGACCCUCCUGAAUAAUGGGACUUGGCUUUAAGAUUUCUAUUAGACAACAAGAUUUAUCAUAAGUUCUGUUGUAG
rnacentral:lncRNA from 1 species